GACGAACCGGACAAACGUUAUUCGGAAUUACUGGGCUUAAAGGGUUUGUAGGCGGUCUUGUAAGUCAGGUGUGAAAUCCCUCGGCUCAACCGAGGAAUGGCGCUUGAUACUGCACGGCUUGAGGGAGACAGGGGUAAGCGGAACUGAUGGUGGAGCGGUGAAAUGCGUUGAUAUCAUCAGGAACACCGGUGGCGAAAGCGGCUUACUGGGUCUCUUCUGACGCUGAGGAACGAAAGCUAGGGGAGCGAACGGG
rnacentral:rRNA from 1 species